rnacentral:lncRNA from 1 species
CUUUCUGACUGACUGCACUCAGGUCGAGAGUCUCUAGUUCCAUCCAUGCUACUAUAAGUGCAGAAACCCUCCUUUUUAGUGUCGUCGUGGUAGGUAGAAAUCUAAAGACGUCCCGUAAGAUCCUCGUGCUCUGAUUAUCCAAUCAAACACUAGUCAAGGUGCUGCAGUGAAGGGACUGUGCAGGUGUAAUUAAGGUUAUGAGCUGAGAGAGUCUGUUCUGGCUGCUAUAAUGAAAUACCAGAGCUUGGAUAGCUUCUAAAUUUCUGUUUUGUUUUAUACAAAAAUUUAUUUCUCAUACUUCUAAAAACCAAGGUGUUGGCAGAUUCUGGGUCUGGUGCAUAGAUGGCACCUUCUAGCUGUAACCUCACAUGGUAGGAGAGGCAAGGGAGCUCUGCAGGGCUCCUUUCAUAAGGGCCCUAAUCCCCUUCAUGAAGCUCUGCCCUCAUCACCUCGUCUCCUUGCAAUGGCUCCACCUUCUAAUACCAUCACCUGGGGGCUUAGGUUUCAACAUAUGCAUUUUAAAGGAUAUAACAUAUGUUGUUUGAAGCUGAAAAAAAUGUGGUAAUUUGUUUGGCAUCAAUAGGGCAGCAGUAUAGUAAUCAUAUUUAUUAACCUUUCACUUUGUGAUCUGUGCCUGCUUUUGAAUUAAAAAAGAAAAAAGUUUCUCCUAAUCUAUGUGUGCAGAAUUCCCAGUGGGUGGAGUGGGGUGGGGUGAUCACCCCCAAAGGGGAGAAAAUUAGUUUUGGGAGAGUGAGAGGAAUUUUAAAUUGUUUCAUGUGUAAAGCACAGAGAUACAUACAAUAUGUAAACAGCAACUCGAUGUAACUAUGAUGUUAAAAUUUCCCUGGGGUGAGGGUGAGGAGUUACAAUUAGGGGGAAAUAUCUAAACAAAUUCCUUGAGAGGUGAUAAUAGAAAAAGGUUGAGGGAAUUCCCUGGUGGCCUAGAAGGUUAAAGAUCACUUGUCACUGCUGUGCCACAGGUGGCCCAGGAAAUUCUGUGUGCCACAGGCACAGCCCAAGAAAAAAAACCAAAAAUGGUUUGAGAAACAUUGGCCCAUGUCAAUGCUAUUCUAUAUUUUCAAAAAUGAACUUAAUCGUGUUAUCUCUCAUACUGCGGUCUUUAUUUAAAAUAUGAGUUCCUCCAAAAAAAAAAAAAA